UCUUCUCAUCUUCUUUACCUUGUAUGUUUCGCUUUUUCUAUUCUAAUAUUUCAUCUCUUAUGUUCUUUCUUUUUUAUCUUUUAUGUUUACUAUUUUCUCUUCCAAUUAGUUUUUAUCGCACAUUUCUUCUCAAUCCCGCAUCUCAUAUGUUCUUUUUUUCAUCUUCUCUAAUCUCUCUUCUCAUAUAUUUUUUAUGUUUUAUUAUAAUUUCU
rnacentral:lncRNA from 1 species